rnacentral:rRNA from 1 species
AGAGCGAACGCUGGCGGCAGGCCUAACACAUGCAAGUCGAACGGACCCUUCGGGGGUUAGUGGCGGACGGGUGAGUAACACGUGGGAACGUGCCUUUUGGUUCGGAAUAGCUCCUGGAAACGGGUGGUAAUGCCGAAUGUGCCCUUCGGGGGAAAGAUUUAUCGCCAUUAGAGCGGCCCGCGUCUGAUUAGCUAGUUGGUAAGGUAAUGGCUUACCAAGGCACGAUCAGUAGCUGGUCUGAGAGGAUGACCAGCCGCAUUGGGACUGAGACACGGCCCAAACUCCUACGGAGGCAGCAGUGGGGAAUCUUGCGCAAUGGGCGAAAGCCUGACGCAGCAUGCGCGUGAAUGAUGAAAGGUCUCAGGAUAGUAAAAUUCUUUCACGGGACGAAUAAUGACGGUACCGGAGAAGAAGACCCGGACUAACUUCGUGCCAGCAGCCGC